rnacentral:rRNA from 1 species
CCUACGGGAGGCAGCAGUGGGGAAUAUUGCGCAAUGGGCGAAAGCCUGACGCAGCGACGCCGCGUGAGGGAUGAAGGUCUUCGGAUCGUAAACCUCCGUCAGCAGGGAAGAACGGUCACUGUGCUAGUCAGCAGUGAAUUGACGGUACCUGAAAAGGAAGCACCGGCUAACUCCGUGCCAGCAGCCGAGGUAAUACGGAGGGUGCGAGAGUGAAUCGGAAUUAGUGGGAGUAAAGCGCUCGUAGGUGGGAUGGCAAGGCAAGGGGGAAAUCCCCGCGCUCAACGUGGGAACCUCCUUUGAAACUGGCAACCUGGAGUGUGUGAGAGGAUAGUGUAAUUCCAGGUGUAGGAGUGAAAUCCGUAGAUAUCUGGAAGAACCUCAGUGGCGAAGGCGACUAUCUGGCACAUAACUGACGCUGAGGAGCGAAAGCGUGGGUAGCAAACAGGAUUAGAUACCCUGGUAGUC